AGGAGCUCUGACUUGUGCUCAGCUCUCUAUCCCCCCUAGAGCUGCAACUCGCCAAAGCCAAACACACGAAUAUUAUUUCAAGAUUUACAGACACAACGUUACCGUAGAGCAAGGACGCAGGGCACACCCACGGAAGCUUCACAUGGAAAUUCAAGAGAGAACUAUGGGCAAUCUGGCUUUUUAGCAUUUUUAUAAGACAAUAUUCAGUAGUAUAUAUAUAUAUAUAUAUAUAUAUAUAAAAAUAUAUAUGAUUAUACAUGGCUGCUGGACUUUUCUUUUGCUUUGCUUCAUUUUAACAAAGAGAAACAUGGCAACGCUUUACGUCACUGUAUCAUUCUGUAUGACAUCAUAUUUCCCCAGUCUGUAUUGCAUCAUAUAUAGACACGUGUCUGACCGUCUGACAACCACAAAGUGCUUCCUCUAUGACUCUAUUUAGCUUCAGCAACACAAACUGCUGCAAUUGACAAAGCGUUAUUAAAUAUGAAAACAUAACCUUACAAUGAAAAAUGGCACAGCCAUUAACCUGAAGGGGUUCCAUUCUUCGUGUUUACAGGGUUGAAAGCUACUGUCUCAUAUCAGAUUACAAGAAAGAUUUAUUCAAUAAAACAACACUGCGUUGCCUUAAGUGAAGGCUACAUGUGAUGCUUUUAACAGGGCGAUCCAGCGUAUUAAAUGCAGCAUUUCCAACUCUACAUCAUUUUUAUGUCUCUCGCAAUGAAUUCAAACUUAAAUGUGCCCGACAAUAUAUUGUGAUCCUCCUAAAUAAAGCGCUUUGUGGGGAGCUAGUGCUGGGAGCUGCUUGCUAUGUGCAGGAUAGAAUUGGAUUUUAUUUGCUGUAAGAGCAGGGCAGCUGCCUGGAUACACACAUACCCUCAGUGCCAUAAAGCUGCUCAGCACUGAUCACAUUCACACAUUUAAAGGAGUAGAUGCAGCACCCAACACUCCCCACCACCUGCUUCUCAUUAGGCUUCUCACACUACAAAAAUCCUAUUUCAGAAAUUCAGAAAGGAUUUAAUUUGUAGGUGAAUUUAAUAAUCCCUUAAAAAAGAAAAAAAAAAAACAAAAACCCCAAACAGCCGAUUCCUGACCAAUUGAAUGCGAUUGCGCUGGUUUGGCAGCGUUUGGUCACUUGGUGGCAGUAUAUAAACAAGUAAACAAAGGAAUGCCCUUAGGACUAAGCCAAGCUGCAUUACAGAAUGACUUCAAUUUCACUAGCUUGCAAUAUGGCAGUCUCUAGAGGAGAUCCAGGCAAUAGAACCGAGGUCACAUUUUAAGGUGAUAGCUAAGAACGUUUUGGACAAGAGUUAUUUCAGCAAAGAAAUACUUCCAAGAAAAGAGCUGGAUGUAGACAACAGACUAAUAUUUUUUCCCACAUAACAGUGAGCCCUAUAACAUGGGAGCAGCAAUAUUGUGACUUCUUAAUAGAGGCAGCAAUAACCCCCAGCUGCAUGUUUGCUUUAUAUCCUGCCAGUAACUGGACCUGGGUAAAAACACUGUAUAAUUCGCAUAUACAUGGAGAUACUGUUAUUUCUAUCCAUUCUAGGUCUAACCAUAAAAAAUGAAAAAUAAAAUAAACGUAUAUACAAAUAAAAUCACUUGUACCAGAA